UUUUUUAGUAAUAAAAUAAAACUGCUAGAUUAAAGGCUUAAAGGACAAAAUAGUAUAAGAGAGAAAAGAAAUUACAAAGAAAGCAAAUCCACUAAUCUAAAAUUAGGGGGCCAAAAGCCCUAAGAGCAAUACAAAAAAAAAGGGUUAAAAACAUGGGCCAAAGACCCGAUAAACCCGAACCAGGCUUAAAGCCCAAUAAAUCGGCACCAAGGCCUACUGAAAAUAAAAAUUUGCUAACUGGUCCUAGCACAAUCUAUCUUCUCUAGAAAGAUCAUUCCCCCUCUCCUUGAGACCCAUGACCUUUAAAUGCUAGAGAUCAAAACCCUAGACUUUCUCCAUCAUCAAAUCAUCCAAGCACUAUCCAUCCUUAAGCCACAACGUAAAAAAUACAAGGUAAACAGCAUGAAAGCACAACCACCCGAAGACAGAGACAAACCAAUCAGAAGAAAAAAAUCGAUGCACCAUCGAAGACCUAAUCUUGAGAGGAUCGAUAAUCACUCCUAUACCCCCAUCAAAUCCAGCAGCUUAUCUUUUUUCAAGCUUGCAUUCGUUCAUAUACGAACUCCCAUAGGAUGACAAUAUGCCUGAGAAGUGAAUUGAGCUGCACCAAGAAUAAAAUACCAUGCGCCAAAAACCAUUGAAAAAGCCAACCAAAUGCCUAACACGAGACAUUAAAACAUGAAAUAAAACUAAUUACAAAAGAAAGAGAAAAACAAAGAAAUAAGGAAAGGCCAUAUUGGCCAUUGGGGAGGCUGUGGAUAGAUAAAUACGCCGACAGCCGCCCAACUGAAAACCCUAAAUGUGAAAAUAGAUAGAUAGAGAGAGAGAUGGAUAAAAAAUAUGGAGAAGAAAUAAAGAAAAUAAUUACAUUUUACAACUUUAAGUGGAAUAUGUUUUAAAGAGCAAAUCCAACACUUUUUAAAAUUCAACUUAAACUUGCGUUCCACUUGAAGUUUAAAUUCGACUUGUUGAAAAAUUGGUUUCGACUUUUCUUGAUCCUGUAUUUAAU
rnacentral:lncRNA from 1 species